AUUGGACGCUGGCGGAAUGCUUUACACAUGCAAGUCGAGCGGCAGCGCGGGGCAACCUGGCGGCGAGCGGCGAACGGGUGAGUAAUGCAUCGGAACGUACCCCGUCGUGGGGGAUAACUACCCGAAAGGGUAGCUAAUACCGCAUACGACCUGAGGGUGAAAGCGGGGGACCGAAAGGCCUCGCGCGAUGGGAGCGGCCGAUGCCGGAUUAGCUAGUUGGUAGGGUAAAGGCCUACCAAGGCGACGAUCCGUAGCUGGUCUGAGAGGACGACCAGCCACACUGGAACUGAGACACGGUCCAGACUCCUACGGGAGGCAGCAGUGGGGAAUUUUGGACAAUGGGCGAAAGCCUGAUCCAGCCAUUCCGCGUGAGUGAAGAAGGCC
rnacentral:rRNA from 1 species